AGGACGAACGCUGGCGGCGUGCUUAACACAUGCAAGUCGAGCGGAAAGGCCCUUCGGGGUACUCGAGCGGCGAACGGGUGAGUAACACGUGAGCAACCUGCCCUUAGCUCUGGGAUAGCUCCGGGAAACCGGAAUUAAUACCGGAUAUGACCUAGGCCGACAUCGGCCGUGGUGGAAAGUUUUUCGGCUAGGGAUGGACUCGCGGCCUAUCAGCUAGUUGGUGGGGUAAUGGCCUACCAAGGCGACGACGGGUAGCCGGCCUGAGAGGGCGACCGGCCACACUGGGACUGAGACACGGCCCAGACUCCUACAGGAGGCAGCAGUGGGGAAUCUUGCGCAAUGGGCGAAAGCCUGACGCAGCGACGCCGCGUGGGGGAUGAAGGCCUUCGGGUUGUAAACCCCUUUCAGCAGGGACGAAGCGAAAGUGACGGUACCUGCAGAAGAAGCGCCGGCUAACUACGUGCCAGCAGCCGC
rnacentral:rRNA from 1 species